CGAUUUGAUGCAAGGUUAAGCAGUAAAUGUGGAGCCGUAGCGAAAGCGAGUCUGAAUAGGGCGUUUAGUAUUUGGUCGUAGACCCGAAACCAGGUGAUCUACCCUUGGUCAGGUUGAAGUUCAGGUAACACUGAAUGGAGGACCGAACCGACUUACGUUGAAAAGUGAGCGGAUGAACUGAGGGUAGCGGAGAAAUUCCAAUCGAACCUGGAGAUAGCUGGUUCUCUCCGAAAUAGCUUUAGGGCUAGCCUCAAGUGAUGAUUAUUGGAGGUAGAGCACUGUUUGGACGAGGGGCCCCUCUCGGGUUACCGAAUUCAGACAAACUCCGAAUGCCAAUUAAUUUAACUUGGGAGUCAGAACAUGGGUGAUAAGGUCCGUGUUCGAAAGGGAAACAGCCCAGACCACCAGCUAAGGUCCCAAAAUAUAUGUUAAGUGGAAAAGGAUGUGGCGUUGCCCAGACAACUAGGAUGUUGGCUUAGAAGCAGCCAUCAUUUAAAGAGUGCGUAAUAGCUCACUAGUCGAGUGACACUGCGCCGAAAAUGUACCGGGGCUAAACAUAUUACCGAAGCUGUGGAUUGUCCUUUGGACAAUGGUAGGAGAGCGUUCUAAGGGCGUUGAAGCAUGAUCGUAAGGACAUGUGGAGCGCUUAGAAGUGAGAAUGCCGGUGUGAGUAGCGAAAGACGGGUGAGAAUCCCGUCCACCGAUUGACUAAGGUUUCCAGAGGAAGGCUCGUCCGCUCUGGGUUAGUCGGGUCCUAAGCUGAGGCCGACAGGCGUAGGCGAUGGAUAACAGGUUGAUAUUCCUGUACCACCUAUAAUCGUUUUAAUCGAUGGGGGGACGCAGUAGGAUAGGCGAAGCGUGCGAUUGGAUUGCACGUCUAAGCAGUAAGGCUGAGUAUUAGGCAAAUCCGGUACUCGUUAAGGCUGAGCUGUGAUGGGGAGAAGACAUUGAGUCUUCGAGUCGUUGAUUUCACACUGCCGAGAAAAGCCUCUAGAUAGAAAAUAGGUGCCCGUACCGCAAACCGACACAGGUAGUCAAGAUGAGAAUUCUAAGGUGAGCGAGCGAACUCUCGUUAAGGAACUCGGCAAAAUGACCCCGUAACUUCGGGAGAAGGGGUGCUCUUUAGGGUUAACGCCCAGAAGAGCCGCAGUGAAUAGGCCCAAGCGACUGUUUAUCAAAAACACAGGUCUCUGCUAAACCGUAAGGUGAUGUAUAGGGGCUGACGCCUGCCCGGUGCUGGAAGGUUAAGAGGAGUGGUUAGCUUCUGCGAAGCUACGAAUCGAAGCCCCAGUAAACGGCGGCCGUAACUAUAACGGUCCUAAGGUAGCGAAAUUCCUUGUCGGGUAAGUUCCGACCCGCACGAAAGGCGUAACGAUUUGGGCACUGUCUCAACGAGAGACUCGGUGAAAUCAUAGUACCUGUGAAGAUGCAGGUUACCCGCGACAGGACGGAAAGACCCCGUGGAGCUUUACUGUAGCCUGAUAUUGAAAUUCGGCACAGCUUGUACAGGAUAGGUAGGAGCCUUUGAAACGUGAGCGCUAGCUUACGUGGAGGCGCUGGUGGGAUACUACCCUAGCUGUGUUGGCUUUCUAACCCGCACCACUUAUCGUGGUGGGAGACAGUGUCAGGCGGGCAGUUUGACUGGGGCGGUCGCCUCCUAAAAGGUAACGGAGGCGCUCAAAGGUUCCCUCAGAAUGGUUGGAAAUCAUUCAUAGAGUGUAAAGGCAUAAGGGAGCUUGACUGCGAGACCUACAAGUCGAGCAGGGUCGAAAGACGGACUUAGUGAUCCGGUGGUUCCGCAUGGAAGGGCCAUCGCUCAACGGAUAAAAGCUACCCCGGGGAUAACAGGCUUAUCUCCCCCAAGAGUUCACAUCGACGGGGAGGUUUGGCACCUCGAUGUCGGCUCAUCGCAUCCUGGGGCUGUAGUCGGUCCCAAGGGUUGGGCUGUUCGCCCAUUAAAGCGGUACGCGAGCUGGGUUCAGAACGUCGUGAGACAGUUCGGUCCCUAUCCGUCGUGGGCGUAGGAAAUUUGAGAGGAGCUGUCCUUAGUACGAGAGGACCGGGAUGGACAUACCUCUGGUGUACCAGUUGUCGUGCCAACGGCAUAGCUGGGUAGCUAUGUGUGGACGGGAUAAGUGCUGAAAGCAUCUAAGCAUGAAGCCCCCCUCAAGAUGAGAUUUCCCAACUUCGGUUAUAAGAUCCCUCAAAGAUGAUGAGGUUAAUAGGUUCGAGGUGGAAGCAUGGUGACAUGUGGAGCUGACGAAUACUAAUCGAUCGAAGACUUAAUCAAAA
rnacentral:rRNA from 1 species